CAGCAGCCGCGGUAAUACGGAGGAUCCAAGCGUUAUCCGGAAUCAUUGGGUUUAAAGGGUCCGUAGGCGGUCUUGUAAGUCAGUGGUGAAAGCCCAUCGCUCAACGGUGGAACGGCCAUUGAUACUGCAGGACUUGAAUUAUUGGGAAGUAACUAGAAUAUGUAGUGUAGCGGUGAAAUGCUUAGAGAUUACAUGGAAUACCAAUUGCGAAGGCAGGUUACUACCAAUUGAUUGACGCUGAUGGACGAAAGCGUGGGUAGCGAACAGGAUUAGAUACCCCAGUAGUCCCUGUCUCUUAUAC
rnacentral:rRNA from 1 species